rnacentral:rRNA from 1 species
GACGAACGCUGGCGGCGUGCCUAACACAUGCAAGUCGAACGGAGCACUUCGGUGCUUAGUGGCGAACGGGUGAGUAACGCGUGAGAAACCUGCCUUUCAGAGGGGGACAACAGUUGGAAACGACUGCUAAUACCGCAUAAUGUAGUUUGGGGGCAUCCUCGAAUGACCAAAGAUUUAUUGCUGAAAGAUGGUCUCGCGUCUGAUUAGCUAGAUGGCGGGGUAACGGCCCACCAUGGCGACGAUCAGUAGCCGGUCUGAGAGGAUGAACGGCCACAUUGGGACUGAGAUACGGCCCAGACUCCUACGGGAGGCAGCAGUGGGGAAUAUUGGGCAAUGGGGGAAACCCUGACCCAGCAACGCCGCGUGAAGGAAGAAGGCCUUCGGGUUGUAAACUUCUUUUACCAGGGACGAACACAAUGACGGUACCUGGAGAAAAAGCAACGGCUAACUACGUGCCAGCAGCCGCGGUAACAC